rnacentral:rRNA from 1 species
UACGGAGGGGGCUAGCGUUGUUCGGAAUUACUGGGCGUAAAGCGCACGUAGGCGGCUUUGUAAGUUAGAGGUGAAAGCCCGGAGCUCAACUCCGGAAUUGCCUUUAAGACUGCAUCGCUUGAAUCAUGGAGAGGUGAGUGGAAUUCCGAGUGUAGAGGUGAAAUUCGUAGAUAUUCGGAAGAACACCAGUGGCGAAGGCGACUCACUGGACAUGUAUUGACGCUGAGGUGCGAAAGCGUGGGGAGCAAACAGGG